AUCUAAGAUGGCGACUGUCGAACCGGAAACCACCCCUACUCCUAAUCCCCCGACUACAGAAGAGGAGAAAACUGAAUCUAAUCAGGAGAUUGCUAACCCAGAACACUAUAUUAAACAUCCCCUACAGAACAGAUGGGCACUCUGGUUUUUUAAAAAUGAUAAAAGCAAAACUAGGCAAGCAAACCUGCGGCUGAUCUGUUGAAGACUUUUGGGCUCUGUACAACCAUAUCCAGUUGUCUAGUAAUUUAAUGCCUGGCUGUGACUACUCACUUUUUAAGGAUGGUAUUGAGCCUAUGUGGGAAGAUGAGAAAAACAAACGGGGAGGACGAUGGCUAAUUACAUUGAACAAACAGCAGAGACGAAGUGACCUCGAUCGCUUUUGGCUAGAGACACUUCUGUGCCUUAUUGGAGAAUCUUUUGAUGACUACAGUGAUGAUGUAUGUGGCGCUGUUGUUAAUGUUAGAGCUAAAGGUGAUAAGAUAGCAAUAUGGACUACUGAAUGUGAAAACAGAGAAGCUGUUACACAUAUAGGGAGGGUAUACAAGGAAAGGUUAGGACUUCCUCCAAAGAUAGUGAUUGGUUAUCAGUCCCAUGCAGACACAGCUACUAAGAGCGGCUCCACCACUAAAAAUAGGUUUGUUGUUUAAGAAGACACCUUCUGAGUAUUCUCAUAGGAGACUGCAUCAAGCAAUCGAGAUUUGGGAGCUGAACCAAAGCCUCUUCAAAAAGCAGAGUGGACUGCAUUUAAAUUUGAUUUCCAUCUAAAUGUUUCUAAGAUAUAAGAGAAGUCUCAUUCGCCUUUGUCUUGUACUUCUGUGUUCAUUUUUUUUUUUUUUUCUUUUUGGCUAGAGUUUCCACUAUCCCAAUCAAAGAAUUACAGUACACAUCCCCAGAAUCCAUAAAUGUGUUCCUGGCUCACUCUGUAAUAGUUCAGUAGAAUUACCAUUAAUUACAUACAGAUUUUACCUAUUCACAAUAGUCAAAAAACAACUUGGCAUUUCUAUACUUUACAGGAAAAAAAAUUCUGUUGUUCCAUUGUAUGCAGGAGCAUAUUUUGCUGGUUUGAAAGAUUAUGAUGCAUACAGUUUUCUAGCAAUUUUCUUUGUUUCUUUUUACAGCAUUGUCUUUGCUGUACUCUUGCUGAUGGCUGCUAGAUUUUAAUUUAUUUGUUUCCCUACUUGAUAUUAGUGAUUUCUGAUUUCAGUUUUUCAUUUGUUUUGCUUUUGUUCUUUUCCUCAUGUAACAUUGGUGAAGGAUCCAGGAAUAUGACACAAAGGUGGAAUAAACAUUAAUUU